UGGGGAAUUUUGGACAAUGGGCGAAAGCCUGAUCCAGCAAUGCCGCGUGUGUGAAGAAGGCCUUCGGGUUGUAAAGCACUUUUGUCCGGAAAGAAAUCCUUGGCUCUAAUACAGUCGGGGGAUGACGGUACCGGAAGAAUAAGCACCGGCUAACUACGUGCCAGCAGCCGCGGUAAUACGUAGGGUGCAAGCGUUAAUCGGAAUUACUGGGCGUAAAGCGUGCGCAGGCGGUUUGCUAAGACCGAUGUGAAACCCCGGGCUCAACCUGGGAACUGCAUUGGUGACUGGCAGGCUAGAGUAUGGCAGAGGGGGGUAGAAUUCCACGUGUAGCAGUGAAAUGCGUAGAGAUGUGGAGGAAUACCGAUGGCGAAGGCAGCCCCCUGGGCCAAUACUGACGCUCAUGCACGAAAGCGUGGGGAGCAAACAGGAUUAGAUACCCUGGUAGUCCACGCCCUAAACGAUGUCAACUAGUUGUUGGGGAUUCAUUUCCUUAGUAACGUAGCUAACGCGUGAAGUUGACCGCCUGGGGAGUACGAUCGCAAGAUUAAAACUUAAAUGAAUUGACGGGGUCAUAGCUGUUUCCU
rnacentral:rRNA from 1 species